rnacentral:lncRNA from 1 species
AAAAAGCAGAAGCUUCCAGAGAACUUAAGUGUUAGAAUGGAACACAGGAUCUCUAGUAUAAUUUCUACUUAAAUCAGGGCAUUACUAAGACAUUAGCUUCCGGCUAAAAACGUGCAGUUACAAGGUGCCCAAUAUCUUCUCUUCCCAAACUUCUUUUUUUUUCCCCCAAACUUCUAUUUAGCUAGUGACUCUGACCAUCUUAAGCUAGACCAACACCUUGUUUUUCUGAUUGAAAUUUAGCAUGCUUCAGCUCUUUUUUAAAUUAAUCUUAUUUGUUCAUAUAUUUAUACUUUCAGUAGUAACUUACCAGAGGGUUUGUUUUUUUUAAUGCACCACUCUUCUAGAUGCUAGAAGAGAAAAUAAUAAAGGCAUGGAUUUUGUUUUAAAAAAAUCAGAUGCUUUUGGGAUACCUACCACAGAUGAGGAGACCAGGGAAUGACAGCAAACCUUUGGUUCAGAUGUGAAGAAAAAACAGAAUUUAGCCAUUUGGAAAAGAGGAGAAAAAACACUAGAAGCAGAUGAAGUACCUGAGGCAUAGAAAAGCUAAGUCAGUUUUCCAAAAUCACAAGGCUAGUAACUGGGAGAAUUGAAAUUCGAGUUGGCAUUUUCACUCCACAGUUGAUGCUCUUAAAUUAGGGUAAUGAAAGCGUAGCAUCAUAUUCAGGGAGUCGUAAGUAAUUAUUUAAGGCUGGAGUGUGGGAUGUGUUAAGUGGAAGGGUUGAGAUGGUGGUAAAAUGAGUCAGAAGAGUUAGGCAGGGGCCAGAUUGUGAUGAGUUUGGGAGGUGCUGCCAAUAUGUUUGGAUUGUAUUCUCGUUUGCUGUUUCUUCUAACACGGAAAGAGCCAUUUGAGUUUGUCCUCGUGUUACUGAUUUGGCUUUCUCUAAGGAGUAGCAAGUUGGUGAAACCUAGAGAAUCGGCUUCUGAAAGCUUCAUUUCUAAAGCAUCAAGAAUAUUAUUCUCAUUGGAAAAUUGCUGCUGAUACCCAUCAAGUGCCUGCUUUCUUCUCCAACCAGAGCAUAAAGAGUCCAUGUUUUUACCCUCUGAGCGUGCCUGUAAGUAGAACUAAAUGUGAUUCUUCAUAUAAAGUCCUCAAGAAAGAGGAAGAAUGGGUUCCCCAAAUUUGAUGGAUGUAGGUGUUCAAAUGAGAAAGUGAAUAAAGUGUCAAACUCAAGCACAGAAAAGGAUAAAGGAAUUAAAGAGUCAGAUAGAGGGGAGAGUGCUUAUUCAAGUCUAAAUGUUUACUGCUUCAUGGUCCAUUAGGGCAUCCUGGAAGGAGGCUUAGUGCAAAAUAAAUGAAUACAAUUCUUAACAAAUAAUGCCAUUAAUGCUGCAGGAUGUUCAUUUCUUUUUAAAAUCUAUUGUUAUGUGUUGAAUGAUAUAUUUAUUAUUAACUGUGAAAACAUAACACUCUUCAUCUUAAGUUUAUUUCUACAUUAAUUCAACUUCAUCUCUCUAGAAAAAUUUCCCUUGUUUAUAACAUCUAAUAAAAUCUUCCCAAAGGUAGGAAACUCACCAAAAGGAUAUCUGUCCUUGUAUCCAAAUGACACUUUUACUUUUUCCCUUCUAAAUAUUCUCUUCUGUCUUUAAGUAUUUCAUUGCAGAUACAGAGGCCAAAAUCAUGCUUGAUCUAUAAAAGCUAAUAAAAACUGUAGCUUUCCCAUCACAACUCAAUUGCUCUUUCAUUUCUUAAUCAUUUUGUACAAGUCCUCUAUUUACUAGACACUGUGCUAGGUGCUGGGUUGAUAAUGGC